GGGACCUGGUGCUGGGUGAAAAACUGGUCCCUGAUGAGUGGAUUUGGAGCGGCGAAUGGUGUAUGGAUCAGCAGAGUGUGAAGGGUGAGGUCAUAAUGUUGCGCCCAGAUGACUUGUGUGGUUUUUGGGGCAGUGUCUGGGGGCUCAUUGCUUCCACUGGUCCAGAGAGUGUGCCAUAAUAACUACCCGAUCCACACCUGAACAACCAAAGGAACCAGUGCAGACUCCAUGAUGUCAUGUCUCCACACCACCCAUCUCCCCUGGGACCAUAACCAAUCAGGCAAAGUGCUGUCCCUCCACUGAACCUCUUAGCUCCUCAGCCCUCUCUUAAAGCUCCUGACCUGUCACCUUGCCAUUAUCUACCUAUAGAAACACCUAGCAUAGCGCUCCUGUGGUACUUUGCCAUUGGUCAGGCACAGUUGGAAGAAAGCAAUCUUGUCUCCUAGUGUGUCACAGCAGUCCACACAUCCUUAUACAUUGCUGUUCCAGAUCUGACUAACUUGGUUUGGUGGCACUGGCAUCAUCUGCUUGAAGAAUGAACGUAAAUACGUUUAAUGCCAUAUGGUACAUCAUCUCACACAAAGUAAAAACACUUCCAUGGAGAUAAGCAGGUGACAGACUC